rnacentral:rRNA from 1 species
GUGGGGAAUUUUGGACAAUGGGCGCAAGCCUGAUCCAGCAAUGCCGCGUGCAGGAAGAAGGCCUUCGGGUUGUAAACUGCUUUUGUACGGAACGAAACGGUCCUGGUUAAUACCUGGGGCUAAUGACGGUACCGUAAGAAUAAGCACCGGCUAACUACGUGCCAGCAGCCGCGGUAAUACGUAGGGUGCGAGCGUUAAUCGGAAUUACUGGGCGUAAAGCGUGCGCAGGCGGUGCUGUAAGACAGGCGUGAAAUCCCCGGGCUCAACCUGGGAAUUGCGCUUGUGACUGCAGUGCUGGAGUACGGCAGAGGGGGAUGGAAUUCCGCGUGUAGCAGUGAAAUGCAUAGAUAUGCGGAGGAACACCGAUGGCGAAGGCAGUCCCCUGGGCCUGUACUGACGCUCAUGCACGAAAGCGUGGGGAGCAAACAGGAUUAGAUACCCGGGUAGUCC